UACGUAGGGUGCAAGCGUUGUCCGGAAUUAUUGGGCGUAAAGAGCUCGUAGGCGGUUUGUCGCGUCGAAUGUGAAACCCGGGGGCUCAACCCCGGGCCUGCAUUCGAUACGGGCAGACUAGAGUUCGGUAGGGGAGUCUGGAAUUCCUGGUGUAGCGGUGAAAUGCGCAGAUAUCAGGAGGAACACCGGUGGGCGAAGGCGGGACUCUGGGCCGAUACUGACGCUGAGGAGCGAAAGCUGGGGAGCAAACG
rnacentral:rRNA from 1 species